rnacentral:rRNA from 1 species
AGUAGAAAUCAAUUGCAGAACGCUCAGCAGAACAGGAUGAAGCCCCUGAUAGACGCAGCCAUUGGUGACUUUUGCGGCAACAACGGCACCUUGUUCCCCGGAAAGAUGGUGAUCGCCGACUUGGGCUGUUCUUCUGGCCCAAAUGCGCUAACACUGGUAUCGACUGCCGUCGAGGCCAUCAUGAGCCACUCCCUUCAGUUCCAGCAUCCACCACCAGAAGUGUCUGUGCUCCUCAAUGACCUUCCUCACAAUGACUUCAAUAUGGUUGUGAAGAGCCUGGUCACGCUCCGUCAAAGCAACAACAAGUUUGUUCUUGUGACUGGUGUCACACCAGGGUCGUUUUACGAGAGGCUCUUCACUAGUGACUCCAUGCAUCUUAUAUGCUCAUCCAACAACUUGCAUUUGCUCUCAAAGGCUCCUGAAGAUUUGUCGAGGAACCAUAUCCCUGCGUACGACACGGAUGAACAUGCUAGGCAUGAAAGGCUCCGUAUGGUCCGUAAGGCUUAUGCGCGGCAGUUCAGGAAAGACUUUACCCUCUUCCUGAAGCUGAGAGACAAAGAAUUGGUUCCAGGAGGCCGAAUGGUUCUUUCCCUUGUAGGGAGGUGUUCUGAUGUAAUCGCCUCCAAUUUCUUUCACAUCUGGGAAACCGCAGCUCAGAUUCUAGGUGUUAUCGCCUCAAAGGGUGUCAUCGCCAAGGAGAAAUUUGAUUCUUUCUACAUUCCUAUGUAUGGACCCUCUGCUGAAGAGCUGAAGGAGAUCAUCGAAGAACAG